rnacentral:lncRNA from 10 species
CCGGCUAGCCGACUCCAGAGAGAGGCCGCAGCCCGGACGGAAGUAAUCUCUCAUCUCAGGAAACCCUUUCCGACUUCCUCGCCAUCCUUCCGGUCCCCGCAGCCACCUACCCCGCGCGGCCACCGAGGCAGGCGCGACCGCACGUCCUCCCGCGCCGAGCGGCCGGAGCGCAGCGCGCAGAGCCGGGGCCCUGCAGUGUCGCGGUCCUGUAGCCGAAUGCUGCGGGGCCGAAGGUUCGGGCGACCACGGCGUUUGUGAGCGCGUCGGGGACGGGGACGCGGCCCCUCCUGUGUUUGUCGGCCGGUGACCCACCCCAGCCCCGGGGAAGGGAUGAGGGCGGCCGCGCUUCAGGCCGGGCCGCGCGGUCUCCCCUGCACCGCCGCCCCCUGGACGAGGGCUGGACCCAAGGCGGUGGUCAGGGACCUCAGAACACAAGUAGAACCAGUCCAGGCCCGGGCCCGCGCUGCCCGGGUAUGGUCCACCAAACGAGCCUUCUCUUUAAGGGUCUCGAGAAGGGCCCCACGCUGGGGGACCCCACUGCAGAACUUUUCGUGAGGGCUGCAAGGAGGGCCGCGUUGUAAAAUAAAGAGGAGACACGAAGCGGCAUCCCCUGAGGGUUGGGGAUCGGGCCGUGAGGAUGGAGUUGGGACAGGCCUUUUUGCUUUGGUAGUUGUAGGGGUUGCAUUGGAAGAUGGGCCAGCGGCAGAGCGGAGCAUGCAGGAAAGAGGAAGAGGCCUUGGACCUGCAGCCCAGGGGUUUGGGUGGGGGGAUUCCUACCUCAGUGAUCCCUGCUGAGCCUGGCUGUUGUCUGUGGUCCAGAAGGUUCCUUUACCUGACUCACUCCUCUCAGAUCAUGUCCAAAUACCAGGAGACUGACCCAGGUCCUCACCAGGUGAGUAGAGGUCUGGCUCUGAGCGACAUUAAGGAAAAGACACAGACAGAGACUGUUUUCUCUUUGGGUCUUCACAUUCAGUGAGUACAGUUCAGAAGUGUUCUUAACUGAGAGAAGCCCCUUUUGGGGAAAAUUUUUCUUUACUGUUGACUCCUUUUUCCUGCUAUGCUUCACUUUUCCGGCAUUUUAAAUUAGUUUGUUUUAAUUAUGAGUAGACUACAUCUACACAGUAAAUAGUCAAACAGAAAUAGGAUAGAAAAUGAAAAGUAAAGGUCUCUCUUUCCUUGCCACCCUCCCCAAAAAGUUCCCACGGUUCCUGGGUUGCCCUUCCAGUAUAUACAAGACUAUUUGUAUAUUCCCUUCUAAAAAAAAACGGAAUAGUAGUAUGCAAACUGUUCUGCCACGUGCUCUUCUAACUUAAUAUAUCAACAUUAUCAUAUCACUUAUAUAUGACCUCUUUCUUGUAGUUGUGUUAUGUCUCAUAGUAUGAUUAUACAGUAAUAUAUUGAACUGAUGUAACCAUGGAUGAUUAUUUCCAGUUUUUCUUUUUUUGUGGUUGCCAACAAUGCUUCAGUGAAUAUCCCUGUACAUAGAUCAGUGUGUACUUGUGCAGGUAUAUCUGCGUGUGAUAUUGUGAAAUAUAUAUUUGAUUGUAGUCCCUGUUUCCUGACCUAAAACUCUUAAAUUCCUUGGACUCUCCAGAGUGAUGAAAAUAUCUUACCUUUUGUAUGCUAAUGAGAUGGUUGGUGACUUGGAGACCCUAGAUAGCUUCAGGAUGGGGACUGGUCACCAGAAAGAUCAAGGCAGGAUUAGAGGGUUGGGACUUUUAGUCCCACCCUGUCCCCCCAGACCUCCACAGAGAGGAGAGGGGCUGAAAGUUAAGUUGAUCACCAGUGACCAAUGAUGUAAUCAAUCAGACAUAUGCAAUGAAGCCUGUAUAAAAGCCCAAAGGAUAGGGUUUGUUGAGUUCUGGAGAGCAGAACAUCAGGUUCCUAGAGGGUGGCGUGCUCAGAGAGGAUAUGGAAGCGCCACAGCCCUUCCCACAUUUCUUGCCCUGUGCAUCUCUUCCAUCUCACUGUUCAUCUAUAUGCUUUGUAAUAUCCUUCCUCAUAAAUGAGCAAACAGAAGUAAAGUGUUUCACUGAGUUCUGUGAUCCACUCUAGCAGAUUAGUCCAAACAAGGAGUGGGUUGGGGGAACUCCAGUUUAUAGCUGGGCAGGCAGAGGUACAGGAGACAACCUACUACCUGGGAUUGGCAUCUGAAAUGGGGGGCGGUCUCAUAGGAUCAAACCCUGAGCCCCUGCUAUUUCCAGGUACAUAGUGCCAGAAUUGAAUUGAAUUAAAGGACACCCAGCCGGUGUCUGUUGCAGAAUUGCUUGGUAUGAGGGGAAACAUCCCCCACACAUCUAGUGUUAAAAGUGUGCUGGCUGUGUGAGAGUGGGAGACAACACUUUGGUUUCUCCUAUAUCACAACACUGGAAUUAGAUUCCUGGAAGUGAAAUUGCUGCAACUUUUUAUGUCCUUGGUUGGAUGAAGAAACCUCGUGCUGUGACCUCCACUUUACCUGCUCACACCCCUGCUUUUGUCCUCUGCAGUCAGGCCAGCUCCUCUGCAGGUCUCAGUCCUGUUUAUUGCCUUGAGGAUCACCAUCAUGGACCAAGCAGUUUCCCAGCAUGGAUCCUGGCCCUUCUUAUACUCAGCCUCCAGACCCUUAUGUGGGGAGCUGGGGCUAAAGUCUAUAAGCUGUGUUCCUGGAGUUCCAGAGUCACUACUAGACUACGAAGGAGCAAAGCAUGGAGUCGUCUUGCUCUUUCGAGGACUUAGGAGGGGAAAAUGGAAACUUGAUUAAGGAGAACUUCUCCUGGGUUCAUCUAUGGUGGCAGCAUGGAGUUUUGUAAUAUACCACUAGCAUGCAGUGCUCAACCACAACUUUUAAAAUUGUUAUGGGCAAAGUGCCAGGAAACUGCUAACUGGUUAAAAUUUAAUUUUGGCUGGUAAAAUUUUCAGCCUUUAUUUUUAUUUUUGAGACAGAGUCUCACUCUGUCGCCCAGGUAGGGGUGCAGUGGCGCAAUCUUGGCUCACUGCAACCUCUGCCUCCCGGGUUCAAGUGAUCCUCCUGCCUUAGCCUCCUGAGUAGCUGGGAUUACAGGCAUGCACCACCACGCCUGGCUUUUUAUAUUUUUAGCAGAGACGGGGUUUCACCAUAUUGGCCAGGGUGGUCUUGAAUUCCUGUCCUCAAGUGAUCUGCCCACCUCAGCCUCCCAAAAUGCAGGGAUUACAGGUGUGAGCCACCAUGCCCAGCCAAUUUUCAGCCUUUAGAGCAAGAAAUCCUAACAAGCCUAUGCCCAUUAAUCAUAAAUCUGCCCCACUUAGGGCACUGGAUGUGUGGCUGUACAGACUGAGUUUUACCCAUCUUUAUAAAUGAUGCUACACUACUAAACUGUGAUGCAUUGGACAUCUCUCAUUUUUCUGUGGCUGACCAGCAUGCAAACAUUCUUUAUAUUUGGGGCACUCCAUCACUGUGAGAGUCUUAGGACCUUCUUUCCCACCGUGGAGCAUAAGGGGGCCACAUACUUGGUCUCCCAACCCCUCACAGCUAGGGUGGCGUGUGAUCUGGCCAAUGAGAUUCUCCUUUUGGGAACUGUGAAUCUUGAUCAAGUGGUGCAAAGACAGAGACACGUUAAAAUUCAUCUUGGUGGUCGAGUUUCUAGAGACUGGUAGUACCUAGCAAUCAUGGUGGAACCAGUGACAGUAUCCUUUUUAUUCCGUGGUACCUGAAAUCCUUACAAUAAAUUCUUCCGCUUCAAUCAGCCAGAGUGAGUUUGUCUUAUUUACAACCAAGAACCCUGACUCAUGUACAUGAAAACAAACAAAAAACCAGAAUGUCUUCCUUUGUCAUUUCCCCUUCCA